AAUACCUGUGGUUAGUUAAUUAAUGGAUUAUUGAAGUAACUAAGCAGCCACAUGUGAAAAAAUAAUUAGGGUUCAUGUAUGUUGAUUAUAAUGUAUCCAUGUACUCUUACUUUAUAUAAUGAAAUAAAUAAGUGUGGCUUCAUUAAA